rnacentral:rRNA from 1 species
AUUGAACGCUGGCGGUAUGCUUAACACAUGCAAGUCGAACGGCAGCAUGGUCUAGCUUGCUAGACUGAUGGCGAGUAGCGGACGGGUGAGUAACGCGUAGGAAUAUGCCUUGAAGAGUGGGACAACGUGGGGAAACUCAAGCUAAUACCGCAUGUACUCGAGAGAGUAAGGCUGGGGACCUUUAGGCCUGGCGCUUUAAGAUUAGCCUGCGUCCGAUUAGCUAGUUGGUAGGGUGAAGGCCUACCAAGGCGACGAUCGGUAGCUGGUCUGAGAGGAUGAUCAGCCACACUGGAACUGAGAGACGGUCCAGACUCCUACGGGAGGCAGCAGUGGGGAAUAUUGGACAAUGGGGGGAACCCUGAUCCAGCAAUGCCGCGUGUGUGAAGAAGGCCUGAGGGUUGUAAAGCACUUUCAGUGGGGAGGAGGUUUGGAAGGUUAAGAGCUAUUCAAAUGGACGUUACCCACAGAAGAAGCACCGGCUAACUCCGUGCCAGCAGCCGCCGUAA